rnacentral:rRNA from 1 species
GAUGAACGCUGGCGGCGUGCCUAAUACAUACAAGUCGAGCGAAUGGAUUAAGAGCUUGCUCUUAUGAAGUUAGCGGCGGACGGGUGAGUAACACGUGGGUAACCUGCCCAUAAGACUGGGAUAACUCCGGGAAACCGGGGCUAAUACCGGAUAACAUUUUGAACCGCAUGGUUCGAAAUUGAAAGGCGGCUUCGGCUGUCACUUAUGGAUGGACCCGCGUCGCAUUAGCUAGUUGGUGAGGUAACGGCUCACCAAGGCAACGAUGCGUAGCCGACCUGAGAGGGUGAUCGGCAACACUGGGACUGAGACACGGCCCAGACUCCUACGGGAGGCAGCAGUAGGGAAUCUUCCGCAAUGGACGAAAGUCUGACGGAGCAACGCCGCGUGAGUGAUGAAGGCUUUCGGGUCGUAAAACUCUGUUGUUAGGGAAGAACAAGUGCUAGUUGAAUAAGCUGGUACCUUGACGGUACCUAACCAGAAAGCCACGGCUAACUACGUGCCAGCAGCCGCCGUAA